UAUGUACUCCUGUAUACUCGCUCAUAUUCAACUUGUAAUCUGCCUAUAUAUGGCGUGUGAAUUAUGGAAUGUAAUCAAGUCUUUCAAUCAUAUAAUCAUUGUUCUAUAUGGUAUCAGAGCUGCUUAGCUCUUAAGAGUCUCAAUUUCGAUCCAAUUUUACUCCCCUCACUCAAAUCUCAAUCGCCAUGUCAAGUGUUACGGAGGUCACAACACACACACACACACACACACACACACUUUCCAAUUAAGCUCACAACCAACAAUUUUCCCGUCUGGAGGAAGCAGAUCGUCGCAACCCUAACUGGGUUAGGUCUUGAAGGUUACCUUGAUGGCUCGACAACAGCCCCAGCCAAAAACCUAACAACAGACAACACAUCAAAAACAAAUCCGCAAUAUACCCUCUGGUAUCGACAAGAUCAAAUCAUUCUUGGAGCCUUAUUGGGGAGCUGCACAAAAACCAUCCAACCAAUUGUCUCUUCGGCUGAAACAGAACAAGAAGCAUUCAAAUGUCUCACAGAUAGCUAUGCAAGCAUCUCCUGCUCUCGCAUUAUUUCUCUAAAAUCUCGAAUGGCAAACAAUCCAAGAGGUACCCGAUCUAUCACUGAGUUUCUACAUGAUAUGAAGAAUAUUGAAGAUGACCUUGCUCUAGCUUAGAAUCCGGUUGAUGAGGAAGACUUAAUAGUUCACAUAUUAGGACAGCUAGGUGACGAUUACACACACAUAGCCUCAGCUUCAAAGAUUCGUGAAACUCCUAUCAAAUACCCAGAUCUCUUUGAAAAAUUGCUUGAUCACGAAAGGACUCUGAAAGACACACAUACGUCCUCUGUUAUCACAACAGUCAACAAUACCCAAAAAUCCAACAAUCGAUAUUCAUCAAAAUCCUUCUAUGACAACCGCAAUCAACCUAAAUUCAACAACAACAACUCAGGCAACAAUUUUCGAUCCAACUCAGGCCCCAAUCGUUCGUCUGGUCAGUACAACGGAGGUAACAACUUCAACAGAGGUAAUAGAAACAAUAGCUACUGCCAAUUUUGCAAUAUCCCUGGACAUGAUACUAAAGAAUGCAGGAAGCUUACUCGGUUUCUUAGAGAAAACAACAUCAGUAUUAACACCUCUACCAAUCCCACAGUCAACUCUAUAGCAACUUCCUCCCCAACCACAGCAGCUCCAUGGAUGUUUGAUAGCGGGGCAUCUCAUCAUGUGGCAUCCACUCUAGCCUCAUUCCACACCCUGUCAGAAUAUGGCGGACCAGACGAAAUCGUGUUAGGAAACGGACCUACGCACGGGCACAAUUCUCAUGCGGGGCACAAACAUCAAUGAUGUCUACUCUGCAGCCAUUUGCUCCCUUCGUCAACUUCCAAGAGUUAACUCCACGGUCUCCUCAAGUAAGUCGGUCACCUCCUGGCACCAUAAGCUUGGUCACCCAUCGGUCAAGAUUUUCAAGUGUCUUCUAGCUCGUUUAGGACUCUCUUGUAAUAAACAUUCAGAUGUUUCUUUUCAUUGUGAUUCGUGCUCUAUAAAUAAAAGCCACAAAUUACCCUUUGGGCCAAAUUCUUUUACUGCCACCAAACCUUUGCAACUCGUAUAUUCUGAUGUUUGGGGACCGGUACAAACUUCCAACGAUGGUUUUUCCUAUUAUGUCACCUUUGUCGAUUUUUAUUCAAGAUACAUUUGGCUUUAUCCAAUGAAACAAAAAUCUGAAGUCUCCACCCUGUUUCCUCAAUUUCGCAGCCUAGUUGAAAAAUUCUACAAUACCCCUCUCAUCUCCCUCUUCACUGAUAAUGGAGGAGAGUUUCUCAAACUUGCCUCAUACCUCAAACAAAAUGGCAUUUCUCACUUCACUACACCACCUCAUACCCCUGAACAGAAUGGGAUUGCUAAGAGACGACACAGACAUAUAGUUGAAACCGGGCUUUCACUUCUUCAUCAUGCCAACUUGCCUCUCUCCUUUUGGACUCAUGCUUUUCAAACAGCAGUCCAUCUUAUAAACUGAAUGCCCACCCAAGUUCUUAAUUUCAAAUCUCCUUAUGACAAACUACACAAUACUCCACCCAUAUACAAGAAGCUAAAACCAUUCGGAUGUCUCUGUUAUCCGUGGUUGCGACCUUAAUCCCUAACCAAGCCUCAUCCCCGGUCUACAAAGUGUAUUUUCCUUGGCUACUCGAUCUCGAAAUCAGCCUACAAGUGUUAUGAACCCACUACUCACAAACUUUACCACUCCCUCCAUGUCGAAUUUAUUGAGCACAUUUUCCCAUACCAGAAUGAACCCGAAACUCCUCUGCCCAAACCGAAUGAGUUUUGCAUCUAUCUGAACCCAAAAAAUGAUAACACCACCAACUCAUCCAUCCCUCCCUGCUGCCCUACACCAUCUCCUACACAACAAAUACCCAUCCAAAUUCCAUCCAUACCCUCCACACCAGCUACACCAUCACCUAGUACACCAACAACCCAAAAACAACCAAUCUGAUCCAGCCUCACCUCAAACAACACCACAACAACCACCCUUAUCCUCACCUGCUCAGUCAUCCCCUUCCUCGGUUCAAUCCCCUAACCCUUCUCCUCCUCCAUCACCACCACCACCUCACCGACCUCGCAAACCUAACCCAAAGUAUUACAACAACAAUCUCGUAAACACUACUACCCUUCAUCCUAUACCACCUACCCUCGAACCUUCCACCCAAAAUCAAGCACUAAAAGAUCCCAAAUGGAGGAGUGCCAUGGAUUCUAAAUUCAAUGCACUUUUACAAAACCAAACUUGGGAGCUGGUUCCGUUAGCCUCUCACAAACCUAUUGGCUGCAAAUGGGUCUUCCGAAUAAAACGCAACCCAGAUGGCUCUAUAUCAAAAUACAAAGCCCGUCUCGUAGCAAAGGGAUUUCUUCAAAAAUAUGGGAAAGAUUAUUUUGACACGUUUAGCCCGGUCACCAAACCCGUCACUAUUUAAACAAUCCUCUCCAUAGCCUUAUCAAACAACUGGCCACUACGCCAACUAGAUGUCAACAAUGCCUUCCUACAUGGCGCAUUGCAUGAAGAAGUAUUUAUGUCUCAACCACCUGGAUACAUUCACCCUCAAUACCCGGAUCACAUCUGCAAAUUAAAAAAAAUCCAUUUACGGUCUCAAGAAAGCUCCACGAGCUUGGUAUAUUGAACUUGCCAACUUUCUCCUCACCUUUGGUUUUCGAAAAUCUCAAGCUGAUGCAUCUCUUUUCAUCUAUUCCCAUCAAACCAUCAUAUGCUACUUCAUGGUUUAUGUCGAUGAUAUUAUCUUAACCAGCAAUGACAACAAAUUCCUUACUCAUUUUGUCACCUCCUUAAGCACAAAAUUCUCUCUCAAAGAUCUUGGUAUGUUUCAUCAUUUCUUAGGUGUUGAAGUCACUCCAACUCCCACCGGUUUGUUUUUGUUCCAACAUAGGUAUAUCCAAGAGAUUCUAAAUCAAUUCCAUAUGGAAAGUGCCAAAUAUGUUACCACCCCCUAAGUGCCACGGAACCAUUGUCUCUCAUUGAUCAAUCACCCACUGUUGAUGCCACACCUUAUCGAAAAUUAGCUGGUUCUCUCUAAUACUUAGCUUUCACUCGUCCCGAUAUUUCACUUGCCAUAAAAAAACUGUCUCAAUUCAUGCACGCUCCUCGUCAAACUCAUUGGCAGGCCCUUAAACGCCUCCUUCGGUACCUUAAAGGUACCAUUCACCAUGGUUUAGUCCUUAACCGUAAUUCCUCACUCACGCUCUCGGCUUUCUCCGACUCUGAUUGGGGUGGAGUUCAUAGUGCAGGCCGAUCUACAAUAGCAUACCUGCUGUAUUUGGGUAUGAAUAUAGUGUCAUGGCGAUCGACAAGACAAAAGACUGUUUCUCGCUCUUCCACCGAGGCCGAAUACAAGGCCUUGGCAAAUGCUUCAGCAGAACUAAUUUGGCUCAAAAACCUCCCUCAUGAGCUAGGUGUGCCUACAACUACAUCCCCAACACUCUUCUGUGACAAUACAGGUGCCACGUAUCUUUGUGCGAAUCCUAUUUAUCACUCGAGAAUGAAUCAUGUGGCCCUAGAUUACCACUUUGUUCGAGAACAGAUUGCAUCAGGUCUUCUCAAAGUCCUUCAUGUUCAUUCACAAGACCAGCUAGCGGACAUGCUGACCAAACCACUUCCACGAGCACCGUUUCUGAAAAACAGAUCCAAUAUUGGAGUCUCCGAUGGAGCCUCCAUCUUGCGGGGGCGUAUUAAGGAUAUGAAGCCCAACAUACAAGACAACAGCCCACAUGAAACACAAUAGCCCACAACUUUGUAUCAUGUUUACAAUUCAUUACUCUGUAUAGUCAAUUGUAUAUAGUCAAUAGAUCCUAUAAUGUCUCCUAUAUGUACUCCUGUAUACUCGCUCAUAUUCAACUUGUAAUCUGCCUAUAUAUGGCGUGUGAAUUAUGGAAUGUAAUCAAGUCUUUCAAUCAUAUAA